rnacentral:rRNA from 1 species
UACAGAGGGUGCAAGCGUUGUUCGGAAUCAUUGGGCGUAAAGGGCGUGUAGGCGGUCUGUUAAGUCAUGUGUGAAAUCCUGGAGCUCAACUCCAGAACUGCCUUUGAUACUGAGGAUCUUGAGUUCGGGAGAGGUGAGUGGAACUGCGAGUGUAGAGGUGAAAUUCGUAGAUAUUCGCAAGAACACCAGUGGCGAAGGCGGCUCACUGGCCCGAUACUGACGCUGAUGCACGAAAGCGUGGGGAGCAAACAGG